rnacentral:rRNA from 1 species
GUGAGGAAUAUUGGACAAUGGGCGCAAGCCUGAUCCAGCCAUGCCGCGUGCAGGAAGACGCAUCUAUGAUGUGUAAACUGCUUUUGUACGGGAAGAAACACUCCCUCGUGAGGGAGCUUGACGGUACCGUAAGAAUAAGGAUCGGCUAACUCCGUGCCAGCAGCCGCGGUAAUACGGAGGAUCCAAGCGUUAUCCGGAAUCAUUGGGUUUAAAGGGUCCGUAGGCGGUUUAAUAAGUCAGUGGUGAAAGCCCAUCGCUCAACGAUGGAACGGCCAUUGAUACUGUUAGACUUGAAUUACAAGGAAGUAACUAGAAUAUGUAGUGUAGCGGUGAAAUGCUUAGAUAUUACAUGGAAUACCAAUUGCGAAGGCAGGUUACUACUUGUGGAUUGACGCUGAUGGACGAAAGCGUGGGGAGCGAACAGGAUUAGAUACCCGAGUAGUCC